UUCUGGCGCCCAGUGCCAAACACUUAGUUGGCCGCUGACGGUACUUUUCUCCCCCUUUUUCCCUUCUUCACGCGGACUGAUAGGAGCUAUUUAAAUCAGCCACGCAGCGAAUCACACGCGUCUCCCCGCGCUGCGCUCCGCUCUCCCUCCUGCGCCUCCAGUGACCGGAGAGGCGCAAAACCCUCACCGAGCGAUGUCCCCCGUUAUUGCCACUGACUGGAGUAAAGUACUUGUUUCUUCACAGGCAAUCCUCAGAGUGGCUCCGCGGGGGUGAGGGCAAAGGGAUAAGACUCUCGGAGAGGGGAUGGAGGAACAAGGGAGGGCACUAAACGGGUUGGGGCAGGGAUUUGGAAGAUCAUUGGCUGCGAUCUGGUGCAUUUGACCUCAAAUGGAGCCAAUAAGCUGUCUGGGUAUGAGGGACUGUAUGCACGCAAACACACACACACACUUGGGUGCAAAAAGUCAGUCAUGAAGGGAGUGUACACAUCGCUCUCAGCUAAGUAGAAGUUUCACUCAUCUCUCAUGUUCUCGGUCUCUGUCCAUGUCAUUCUUCAUCACUCUACUUUCACAUUAACCAUCAGUUAGUCUUUGUCUCUCACACACACACACACACACACACCUCCACAUCAGCUAUCAGUUUGUCCGACAGAUACAUAAAUGUACAUCUUCACAUUCACGCAGAGACCAACUCCUUCACAUCACACGUCAACUCACCCAAGAAUCACACGCACACACAAUGCAUCACACAUCAGUUAUAUCUUUUAGGCUGAAGGAGAAAGGGGUUUGUUGGCAGCGGGGGUUGAAGGGGGGGUUGACAGGAGAGAAGAGGAAGUACACAGGAAGUACAUUAGUUAUCACUCCCAUGUCUUCUCCACCUUUUCACGUCUUAUCACCACCGGACGUCUAAGAUCCCCGCCAAGCUGCUUCUCCUUCUCAUCACUACCCUUCUCUCUCUCUCUCUCUCCCUCUCUCCCUCUCUCCCUCUCUCUCUCUCUCUCUCUCACACAAACACACAGACACUUACAUCUGAAAAUGACUUCCGCGCUCCACUUUCGUGUCGGGCCCUGGGAUCUAGAUGACACUUGGCAUGCCGCAGAAGCCGCAAGACAACUGGAUGAAAUAUUUAAAUGAAAGACGGCAGGGGUAGAAGAGGUGAAGAAAAGAAGGAAGGGGGGAAAAGAGGAAGAGAAAUGAACACAGGAGAGAGGACAAGGGAAGGAGAGAGGGGCGAUAUUCAGAUGGCGAGCAGAAUAUGAAGAAUUUCUCGGCAGAGAGGUGGGCUGUGUGACAAGAAGUGCAGACGAAUUGGCUUACACCUUAGAAGUAGCCUUAAGAGACAUAUUCCAAUAUAGUAUGAGAUCCCAUCAGUUUAUCUUGGGAUCAUCAGCAAGUCUCAGUAUGAACCAAAGUACUUUCAACAGCGUGCCAGCUCAGCUGCUUGGAGGAGGGCAAUGAAUCUAACAUAUGACCAAAUGAAAUGUAACUUUGCUAUCAUGAUUUUUGCGACUUUAGAAUUAGGUUCCAGCUGACUUUGUUAUAUUAUCAAGACUAAAUCCCUGUCCCAAUUGUUCUUCCUUGGCCCUACCCGUAGAUAUGAACUGCCCUUCGCUGGGAGUGUCCCCCUCCAACAGAGCCACAAAGGGGAGGGCUUGAAAAUCUUGCCCUAGGAAUUGUGGUACCACUCACUAUGUCAUCGGCAGCCAACAAAUGUUAUUACAGUGACAAACAAUUCAAUCAACUACAGUCAAGCCUUGCAGUAAAAACCUUAUAACACGAGGGGGACACUUUGCAAAAUUUGCAGCUUGACAAUGUUUCAAACUUCAUAUACUGGACAUGGGAGAAAAAAACGUUUCUCGUUACUCUCACUCAGGCUGUUUACAUGCUUGUUUUGACGGCGUGAACAGCAAUUUUCCUGAAACACUGUGAUUCAAUUACAUUUUCAUUAGCUACUGGAUUAAAACAAGAUAUUCAGUAUAUUUGUAUCGGUGCACCUAUCUUGCACUGAUGAUGUCAUUUGAAUAGUAUAGUAUUUAGGAAUGUGUAAUAAUGAAGUUCUGCAGAUAUAACCGCCUAGCUGAUCCCGAGUCAGUCACCCCAUUUGAUAGCAUCAAAUUACUAAUAAAAGAGCUAACUAAUCUGACACAUUGAUGCUUGAAUUUAAAUGAGUGGUGUAAAAAACUAUACCGUAAAAACAGAAACCUUCUUUUGGCAAAAUGGUUGGAUAUGUCCUUCCACUUGUUAGUUUGGGCUCAUCUGCUAACAUGGAGGAGGUAGGUUCAUGACCCAUACUGCAGUCAGCCAGCUGAGGGAGAUCAAGAUUUCUGGCAUCGUUUUUGUGGAUUUGUCAUAUCAUCUACCUUCAUAUACAGCCAUUGAGCUGUACUAACUGCUAUUGCUAAUAUGAUAACAUGCCUAACGACAGAGCUAAUAUGCUGCGAUUUAAAAUGUGAACUAACUUCAUAAUCUCUAUAUGCUAGUUUACUAACACUUGCUAUUAUACACCUAUAUUUUACACUAACUGUUGCAAUAAGAAAAGUCAGAUAAUCACUUAAAUAAUUACAUCCCCUCCAACAGGGCUCAUUAAUGAAUCUAUGCCAAAUUGUAAAGCAAACCUUCCAAUAUCUGUUGACAUAUUUCACACAUAAUCACAAAUGUCAACCUCACAGAAGAAGCCGAGGAAAAGUUUCAUUGAAUUAUAAAUCUAUUUAACUGAGUGGCCUAAAAACUCUAACCUGCUGGUGGAACUAGAUUAAAAAUCUAAGUAUGCCAACCCAAUGGUGGUGCUGGAGGUUCAACAAAAUAAGUAUUAUUUACCCACAAGGGACCAUGAACUUCUUAAAAAAACGCAUUGGCCAUCGACCCGAAAUAAAUAUUAAACGAUGGAUCAGUGUGAUCAUCUACAGAGGCGUCCCACUGGCAUGGCAAAAAAUGUGAAUUAACAUUUAGCGCAAGUUUAUUCAUUUAUUUAUUGAAUUGUUUAUCGUCUUAAGGGAGUAACGGUUCUAGGCUCUUCAGAAGUAAUUCUAUAUUUCACUUCAGUACAUUUCUAUACAUUUUGAGAAUUACACAGCUUAAGCCAGUGUUUGUAAGAAUUAUUUUAUAAAUGCUUUAUUUACAACUCAAUAUAGUAUUUAGUUAAGGCAAACUUUUAAUUAUAUCAGAGUGUAGGUUUCUAGUUAAAUGAGUGAACUGAUCCUAGUUGAACAGGAAUCAGACCAAAACCAAAACCUACAAGUUUUGUAGGUUUUGGACAAGUGGAACAGUAACAAAAAUCUUUUGUUAUCAACAUUUAUUAAACACGGCUGUGUAUGUAUUAAACCAGCAAUUUCCCUAUAAUAACUACAUUAUAUAUUAUAUUAUUAAACUAAUAAAACUAACAUUUUAUUUUAGACGUUAGGUAGAGGUGUGUUGAUUUAGAGCAGUAGGUUAUCUUUUAUUUUGAUUACUUCUCCCCCUACAUCAUAUGCAGAUAUGAAAACCUCUGCAUUUUAAAACUUGAAUCCCAGCUAGAGCCUUAAUUCUGUAAUUCCAAUCAUGCUUUAUUUCAUAUUCCAUUUAAGACAUACAAUACAAUAAGCAUUCAUGUGUAUACUGCAUGUGUGUGGUUUAUUCAAUUGCCUACACUUACUGCGUAAGGUCUUUUAAGUUAUUUUCUCAACCAGUCAUGUGUGCAGCGCUGCAUGCUGGUUGUGCAGAUGCUCCUCUUUUUAUUUGUGUGCAUGUGUGUUUGUCGCAGUGUGUGUGCGUGCAUAUUCUGCAUACACACAAUUGUACUGUAAUGCUCAUCUGCAACAUGUGUGCAUUGGGUUUGUGUAUGCAGUUUAAUUUAUGCCUCUUCAUGUUGCAGUACUGAUUGUAUGUUUGCAGUCCUACAAAGAACUGGGCUUUUGGCAAAGCUGGACAGCAGGCCUGUCAGUCAAUGAACUGAAGCAGCUCACUAGCUUGUAGAGACAAGCAACUUAGAUGUGAAGAGAAGAAAGAAAUACUACUGUGUCAUGUAGUGUUCAUG